rnacentral:rRNA from 1 species
UACGUAGGGGGCAAGCGUUGUCCGGAUUUACUGGGUGUAAAGGGCGUGCAGCCGGGCUGACAAGUCAGAUGUGAAAUCCCGCGGCUCAACCGCGGAACUGCAUUUGAAACUGUCAGUCUUGAGUACCGGAGAGGUCAUCGGAAUUCCUAGUGUAGCGGUGAAAUGCGUAGAUAUUAGGAAGAACACCGGUGGCGAAGGCGACUUUCUGGACUGUAACUGACGUUGAGGCACGAAAGCGCGGGUAUCGAACAGG